UUUAACCCUCCUCGCUUUCAAACGCUUUCAAAAAACCCUGUUUUCCAUAGUGAAAAAUCAUCAUCAAAAGCUCGAUUUCUCUGAUACAUUCUUAACAUUGAAGAUUGGAACUCCCAGUUGUGAUUAUCGAUUGGUCUAGAUCUCUUACGUCAUAUCAUUCUCCAUUUGGUAUAGAAAUCGCAAGAGGUAAAACCCUAAUCCUACGAAGCUAUGCACACAGUUACACAUAUAGCUGCUCUUAUUAGAUCCCAAGAAGCUUGGUGAACAUACCCAAAUCCCUCAUGGAUGUUCCUUCUUUCGCUGCCUUGAUAGCUGCUUGGCUUAACUCCUUAAUUUUAACUCGUUCCAGCGUUUAGAUUGUCCACAUUUAUGAAAGAGGUAUUAAUUAGUAUGAUUAUUAUGGAGGAAAAAAGAAUAUGCGUGGAAGCCAAUUUAUAUUAUUUAACAUGAACUGACUUCAUUGAUUACGUUGUUUUGGUUAAAGGUUAUGGUUUAGGAUAAAAUGGAUUGAUAUUCCAACUCGUUGGAGCUCAAAUGGUUCACAUGUAUCCACCGUAAAUGCAGAAGAGGGUGGUUGUUGCUACGCUUAUUAAUGUUGUUUUUUCAUCGUUUUCUUUUUUGCCUAUCCUAAAGAUCAUCGGAAAAUAUAUUUAGAUCUCGGAUUACCUUUUAUCAUUUGUAAGUAUUGAUUCACUAAACAUAUUAUAUUUUUACAUGGAUUUCAA
rnacentral:lncRNA from 1 species